UACGAAGGGGGCUAGCGUUGUUCGGAAUUACUGGGCGUAAAGCGCGCGUAGGCGGUUUUGCAAGCCAGAGUUGAAAUGCCUGAGCUCAACUUGGGAAUUGCCUUUGGGACUGCGAGGCUUUGAGGACUGGAGAGGUGAGUGGAAUUCCCAGUGUAGAGGUGAAAUUCGUAGAUAUUGGGAAGAACACCGGUGGCGAAGGCGGCUCACUGGCCAGUUUCUGACGCUGUAUCGCGAAAGCGUGGGGAUCAAACAGG
rnacentral:rRNA from 1 species